UCCACGCCCUAAACGAUGAACACUAGUCGUCGGGAUGCUUGUCAUCUCGGUGAUGCACUUAACAGAUUAAGUGUUCCGCCUGGGGAGUACGGUCGCAAGACUAAAACUCAAAGAAAUUGACGGGGGCCCGCACAAGCGGUGGAGCAUGUGGUUUAAUUCGACGCAACGCGAAGAACCUUACCCAGACUUGACAUCCUGUGGAUCUGUAAGAGAUUAUAGAGUGCCC
rnacentral:rRNA from 1 species